AGCAGCCGCGGUAAUUCCAGCUCCAAUAGCGUAUAUUAAAGUUGUUGCAGUUAAAAAGCUCGUAGUUGAAUUUCGGGGUCAGUAGGUCGGUCGUGCCACUGGUAUGAACUGGUUUUACUGAUUCCUCCCUCUUGAAGAACUGUAAUGCCAUUAAUUUGGUGUUGCAGGGAAUCAGGACUGUUACUUUGAAAAAAUUAGAGUGUUUAAAGCAGGCUUUAGCUUGAAUACAUUAGCAUGGAAUAAUGAAAUAGGACGUUUGAUCCUAUUUUGUUGGUUUCUAGGAUUGACGUAAUGAUUAAUAGGGAUAGUUGGGGGCAUUAGUAUUCAAUUGUCAGAGGUGAAAUUCUUGGAUUUAUUGAAGACUAACUACUGCGAAAGCAUUUGCCAAGGAUGUUUUCAUUAAUCAAGAACGAAAGUUAGGGGAUCGAAGACGAUCAGAUACCGUCGUAGUCUUAACCAUAAACUAUGCCGACUAGGGAUCGGAUGAUGUUAAUUUUUUUAAUGACUCAUUCGGCG
rnacentral:rRNA from 1 species